UACAAGGUGUCAAGGUACAAGCAG
rnacentral:siRNA from 1 species